UACGGAGGGUGCAAACGUUGCUCGGAAUCAUUGGGCGUAAAGCGCACGUCGGCGGCCUCGCAAGUCGGAUGUGAAAUCCCUCGGCUUAACCAAGGAAGUGCAUUCGAAACUGCAAGGCUUGAAUACUGGAGAGGGUCGCGGAAUUCUCGGUGUAGAGGUGAAAUUCGUAGAUAUCGGGAGGAACACCAGUGGCGAAGGCGGCGACCUGGACAGAUAUUGACGCUGAGGUGCGAAAGCGUGGGGAGCAAAUAGG
rnacentral:rRNA from 1 species